CGGGGAACUUUACGGGGACCCCAGCGUUUAUUAGAUUUAAACCAAUAUUCCGCAAGGUCUACUGAGAUGAUUCAUGAUAACUGAUCGAAUUGCUGGAACUCUAGCAAUAAAUCAUGUAGGUUUCUCCUUCCCAUCAGCUUGAUGGUAGUGUAUUGGACAACCAUGGCAUUCACGGGCUAUCGGGGGAUUAGGGUUCGAUUCCGGAGAGGGGAGCCUGAUAAACGGCUACCACUUCUACGGAAGGCAGCAGGCGCGAAAAUUAUCCAAUCCUGAUUCAGGGAGGUAGUGAAAGAAAUAAUGAACUAGGAUUUAUCCUGGGAUCACAAUGGGCUUGAUUUGCAAACACUUAGCGAGGAACAAUUGGAGGGCAAGUCUGGUGCCAGCAGCCGCGGUAAUUCCAGCUCCAAUAGAGUAUAUAAACGUU
rnacentral:rRNA from 1 species